rfam:Capsicum annuum cultivar Zunla-1 chromosome 3, whole genome shotgun sequence
AGUCUGAUGCCACGUCGAUGGUAGCAAAAUGUCCGAUGUCCAGCGAUGCUAUGAUUGAACCACUAACAAGUUUUAAUUAACGUUUCACAUUUUGAUAGGAAUCUGUGUAUGGAUUUUCAAUUCCUUCACAAGAGCCGUUUCAUGCGAUCACAUUC